AUGACGACCCACGGGGCGCGCCGCGGUACGGGUCAGCAGCCGGCACGUCUCCCCGGCCCACGGCGGAGGACCAACACUUCCGGCAAUGCAGCGAGCAGGGACUGCGCCUGCGUGCGAGCCACUAGGCUGGCGCGGGGGAUGCUGGGUCCCGAGCGUCGGGGGCGCGCUGAAAUUCAGAACGCGCCCCUCGGGUCGCGCGCGGCGGAGCGGGGCUGCGAGUGGAAAGCCGAGAACGCGGGAAACAUGAAGAGGCAGGGGCUCUCGGGCGAGCGGAAAUCGGCGCCCCUCUCGUCGGGGAAGGCCGGAGCAGCAAAUGGAUUUCUCAUGGAAGUGUGUGUUGACUCAGUGGAGUCAGCUGUGAAUGCAGAAAGAGGAGGUGCUGGUCGGAUUGAAUUGUGUUCUGGUUUAUUAGAAGGAGGGAUCACACCCAGCAUGGGUCUCCUUCAGAUAGUGAAGCAGAGUGUCCAGAUCCCAGUGUUUGUGAUGAUUCGUCCACGUGGAGGUGAUUUUUUAUAUUCAGAUCGUGAAAUUGAAGUGAUGAAGGCUGACAUUCAGCUUGCCAAGCUUUAUGGUGCUGAUGGCUUGGUAUUUGGGGCAUUGACUGAAGAUGGACAAAUUAACAAAGAGCUGUGCAUGUGCCUUAUCGCUCUUUGCCGCCCUUUGCCAGUCACUUUCCACCGAGCCUUUGACAUGGUUCAUGAUCCAAUGGAAGCUCUACAGACCCUCUUAACCUUGGGAUUUGAACGAGUAUUGACCAGUGGAUGUGACAGUUCAGCAUUAGAAGGGCUGCCCCUAAUAAAGCGACUCACAGAUGAGGCAAAAGGCAGGAUUGUGGUAAUGCCAGGGGGUGGCAUAACAGAAAGAAACCUACAAAGGAUCCUCGAGGGGUCAGGUGCCACAGAGUUUCACUGUUCUGCUCGAUCUGCUAGAGACUCUGGGAUGAAGUUUCGAAAUUCCUCUGUUGCUAUGGGUGCUUCACUUUCCAGCUCAGAAUAUUCUGUAAAGGUAACAGAUGUGACCAAAGUAAGAACUUUGAAUGCUAUUGCAAAGAACAGCCUGGUGUAGCCGGAUUUCUCUUAGACACCUGGAGAUCACUGCAUAGAGGUACAAGUGUAAUCUGCAGUUCUUUAUGAGACAGCUUUCACUUGCGCCUCUUCCCAUGGCCCUGGAGAAUGUUCCAAGAAGAAAAAUGCCUUGAAGCAGAGAUGCAGUGACUUCCCCUAAUCUUGCCGACCUUUGCUGUCAUCGUGGUUAAACUGGUCUGUGCUUCCUCCACAGACACUUACUCUGAGAUGAACAGGGAAAGUUCAUCUACAAGUGUCUGUUAACAAGCAGCUGGAAAUGACCCUUAAAUCCACGUACUCAGAUGUGGACACAGGCAUCCUAACUGACGCCAUAAUCAAUAGGCCAAACACCUGCUCUCCUUUAAUUUUGAAGUUUGCAAAGUACAGAUGUCAAGGUGAUGGAGUAUCUCCUGGGUUUUUUCAAAAUUUUUUACUUCCGUCCACUGCUUCACUCCCAAAGUGGCUGCCACAGCUGGAGCUGAGCUGAUCCCAUACCAGGAGCCUGGAGCCUCUUCCAGGUCUCCCAUGGAGGUGCAGGGUCCCAAGGCUUUGGAUCAUCCUCUGGUGCUUUUCCCAGACCACAAGCAGGGAGCUGGAUGGAAAGUGGAGCAGCCAGGACACAAACUGGCACCCAUAAAGGAUCCCAGCAUGUGCAAGGCAAGAAAUUUAGCCACUAGGCUACUGCACCGGGCCUUAUUUACAGUUCUUUUAAACUCUUGCUCUGAUAAUUGCAACAUCCUGGCCUUGUGUGAGUCUAAUGCUUACUCUGUAUCUUCCGAGAGUAUGUAUACUGUGUGCCUUUGUAACCUUUUGUCUCUCUUUUUGAAGUUUAUUUAUAUAUUUGAGAAGUUAAACUAUAGCGGGGAGGGAGAAGAUAGAGAAAGAGGGGAGGAUGCAGGAAGGGUAGGAGGGAGAAAAAUCAAGAUUUUUUUUAACCUGUUGACUCCUCAGUGCCUGGAAUAACCCCGGGCAGCUAGAAGCAAGGAACCAGGAACUUCAUCUAAUGAGUGACAGAGACCCAGAGCAUUUGAACAUCAUGUUGCCUUACAGAUAUGCAUAGAAGCUAAAUUGGAAAUGAUGGCAGAAUAUGAUGCCAGGACUGCAUUGUAAGUGGUGGCAUAAGCCACUAUGGCACAAUAUUCACCACUGCGGUCUUUUCUUGAUAGCUGGAUAUGAUGAAUUGGACAAAGGGAAUUGUUGACAGCAGCCAUUAGCAAUAAAUGGAAGAUGAACUGUCUCAAGUAAACUAUUAAUAAGAAAAUGCCUAUCUGUGCCAGUUGAAUUUUCAUCAUCGCAGUCAAUCUUUUUUCUGGGAAAGACUAUUUCACAGGUAAUACCAAGGAAUUGUUACAGGCUUAUGCAUUUAAUAUUUGAAAUCCCGAACCAAGGACUCUCUUAGAAUGCCUAUGUGUCUUACAAAACUUGUCCUUCAUGUGACUGAAACGGAGCAAGAAAA